rnacentral:rRNA from 1 species
UACGGGGGGGGCAAGCGUUGUUCGGAAUUACUGGGCGUAAAGGGCGCGUAGGCGGUCAGACCAAGUCGAAUGUUAAAUUCCAGGGCUUAACUUUGGACGGUCGUUCGAUACUGGUCGGCUAGAGUCCGGUAGGGGAGCAUGGAACUCCUGGUGUAGCGGUGAAAUGCGCAGAUAUCAGGAAGAACACCAGUGGCGAAGGCGGUGCUCUGGGCCGGAACUGACGCUGAGGAGCGAAAGCGUGGGGAGCAAACAGG